rnacentral:lncRNA from 1 species
CUUCCUCGGAGCCGAAUGAAGCAGGGAGAGCGAGCAGGAUUAGAGUCAGCCACCGGCUAUCAGCGGAGCGGAGAUAAAAGGAACUGCUUCUUAAGCGCCACUGCCGCAGCCCUUGUUAAUUUUUUUCUUCUUUCCACACAACAGUUGUGCCUCAUUAUCCGGUGCCUGGCUCGAUUUUUUUUUUUCUUUCUUUUUCUUUUUUGAGGGUUUGAAGUUUCUGUGAUUCCGUGACUGUUACAGAAGAAGAGACGUUAGUGUUGCCAUGAGGUCUUGAUUGUCUGCAUUUAUGAAUGAAACUGACCUAAAUCACCUGUUACCUCCAGUUUCCAGAUUGUUUGAACUUCUCUGGCCGCACAAUACAGGAAGGAAGG